CGAGUGCGAGCUGCUACGGCAGCGAAGUUGGUGACGUCAUGCUUCCAAGAAAAGCCCUAUACCCGUUAAGGCAUCAUGGCCUGUACCCGAAACCGACACAGGUGGGGUGGUAGAGAAUACCGAGGGGCGCGAGGUAACUCUCUCUAAGGAACUCGGCAAAAUGGCCCCGUAACUUCGGGAGAAGGGGUGCCACCGCAAGGUGGUCGCAGUGAAGAGGCCCAGGCGACUGUUUACCAAAAACACAGGUCUCCGCUAAGUCGCAAGACGAUGUAUGGGGGCUGACGCCUGCCCAGUGCCGGAAGGUUAAGGAAGCUGGUCAGCGCAAGCGAAGCUAGCGACUGAAGCCCCGGUGAACGGCGGCCGUAACAAUAACGGUCCUAAGGUAGCGAAAUUCCUUGUCGGGUAAGUUCCGACCCGCACGAAAGGCGUAACGAUCUGGGCGCUGUCUCGGAGAGAGGCUCGGCGAAAUAGAAUUGUCUGUGAAGAUGCGGACUACGUGCACCCGGACAGAAAGACCCUAUGAAGCUUUACUGUAGCUUGGUAUUGUGCCCGGGCUCGCAAUGCGCAGGAUAGGUGGGAGGCUUUGAUCAUCGGCUUGCGGGUCGAUGUGAGCCAACGGUGAGAUACCACUCUUUGCGAGCUAGGGUUCUAACGGCCACCCGUCAUCCGGGGGCCGGACAGUACCUGGUGGGCAGUUUGACUGGGGCGGUCGCCUCCUAAAAGGUAACGGAGGCGCGCAAAGGUUUGCUCAGGCUGGUUGGAAAUCAGCCGACGAGUGUAAAAGCAGAAGCAAGCUUGACUGUGAGACCAACAAGUCGAACAGGGAGGAAACUCGGCUUUAGUGAUCCGACGGUUCUGAGUGGAAGGGCCGUCGCUCAACGGAUAAAAGUUACUCUAGGAUAACAGGCUGAUCUCCCCCAAGAGUUCACAUCGACGGGGAGGUUUGGCACCUCGAUGUCGGCUCAUCGCAACCUGGGGCUGAAGUCGGUCCCAAGGGUUGGGCUGUUCGCCCAUUAAAGCGGUACGCGAGCUGGGUUCAGAACGUCGUGAGACAGUUCGGUCCAUAUCCGGUGCACGCGCAGGAAUAUUGAGAGGAUUUCUCCCUAGUACGAGAGGACCGGGAGGAACGCACCUCUGGUGUACCAGUUAUCGUGCCAACGGUAAACGCUGGGUAGCCAUGUGCGGAGUGGAUAACCGCUGAAAGCAUCUAAGUGGGAAGCCCACCUCAAGAUGAGUAUUCCCAUGGCGUAAGCCAGUAAGGUCACGGGAAGAACACCCGUUGAUAGGCUCUAUGUGGAAGCGCAGUAAUGCGUGAAGCAGAGGAGUACUAAUAGACCGAGGGCUUGACC
rnacentral:rRNA from 1 species